AAAUUGAAGAGUUUGAUCAUGGCUCAGAUUGAACGCUGGCGGCAGGCCUAACACAUGCAAGUCGAACGGUAACAGGAAGCAGCUUGCUGCUUCGCUGACGAGUGGCGGACGGGUGAGUAAUGUCUGGGAAACUGCCUGAUGGAGGGGGAUAACUACUGGAAACGGUGGCUAAUACCGCAUAACGUCGCAAGACCAAAGAGGGGGACCUUCGGGCCUCU
rnacentral:rRNA from 8 species